CGCCCCUCGCGGGAGCCGGCAAAUUCCAGCCUAGAGCCGGGCGAGGAGCUAGCUGUUGGGGUCGGGUCUCGCGUGAGCGCGGGCUAACGGGGGCGGGCGGCGCGCCGGGGACGACCCUGUGUGGCAGCUGCAGUCCGCUCCCCUCACCAGCACCGAGCCGCCAGUUCCCUGGGCGGUGUCGCUGGGAGGUCUCCGGCGGGCACCGUCGCUCCGCCCAAGUGUUUAUUAGCCGGUAGGCUGGCUACCCUGAGAAACUUCAGGAAGUCUUCAGAUCUACCGACGCAGAGAACUGUGUGGUCGUUGCCAGUGUGUUCGCCGUGAUGACUUGCGUGCCCACAGCACUCACAGUGGAGAGAUAAACAAGCAAAAAUCUACUAGCAAGCCAGCUGUCUAUCCCCAGUGAAAAACACAACAAACUGUGAUAUGUUCACGAAACAGAAUUUUACCCUAGCAUGAAAAAUCCUCAAACCACAGCUGCAAGCAACAGUACGGUGUAAACGUUCUGGAAGCAACAUAAGAAAGAUGUCUUGUAGCAGCAGCAUUGCUGGUCUUUCUCAGCAUCAGGGUCUUUUUCAACGA
ensembl:lncRNA